AUGAACGCUGGCGGCGUGCCUAAUACAUGCAAGUCGAACGCUUCACUUCGGUGAAGAGUGGCGAACGGGUGAGUAAUACAUAAGUAACCUGGCAUCUACAGGGGGAUAACUGAUGGAAACGUCAGCUAAGACCGCAUAGGUGUAGAGAUCGCAUGAACUCUAUAUGAAAAGUGCUACGGGACUGGUAGAUGAUGGACUUAUGGCGCAUUAGCUUGUUGGUAGGGUAACGGCCUACCAAGGCGACGAUGCGUAGCCGACCUGAGAGGGUGACCGGCCACACUGGGACUGAGACAUGGCCCAGACUCCUACGGGAGGCAGCAGUAGGGAAUUUUCGGCAAUGGGGGAAACCCUGACCGAGCAACGCCGCGUGAAGGAAGAAGUAAUUCGUUAUGUAAACUUCUGUCAUAGAGGAAGAACGGUGGAUAUAGGGAAUGAUAUCCAAGUGACGGUACUCUAUAAGAAAGCCACGGCUAACUACGUG
rnacentral:rRNA from 1 species